UACGGAGGGAGCUAGCGUUGUUCGGAAUUACUGGGCGUAAAGCGCACGUAGGCGGCUUUGCAAGUUAGAGGUGAAAGCCCGGGGCUCAACUCCGGAAUUGCCUUUAAAACUGCAUCGCUAGAGUUGUGGAGAGGUAAGUGGAAUUCCGAGUGUAGAGGUGAAAUUCGUAGAUAUUCGGAAGAACACCAGUGGCGAAGGCGACUUACUGGACACAUACUGACGCUGAGGUGCGAAAGCGUGGUGAGCAAACAGG
rnacentral:rRNA from 1 species